rnacentral:misc_RNA from 1 species
GAUGAAGAACGUAGCAAAAUGCGAUAAGUAAUGUGAAUUGCAGAAUUCAGUGAAUCAUCGAAUCUUUGAACGCACAUUGCGCCCGCCAGUAUUCUGGCGGGCAUGCCUGUUCGAGCGUCAUUUCAACCCUCAAGCACAGCUUGGUGUUGGGACUCGCGUUAAUUCGCGUUCCCCAAAUUGAUUGGCGGUCACGUCGAGCUUCCAUAGCGUAGUAGUAAAACCCUCGUUACUGGUAAUCGUCGCGGCCACGCCGUUAAACCCCAACUUCUGAAUGUUGACCUCGGAUCAGGUAGGAAUACCCGUUGAACUUAAGCAUAUCAAUAAGCGGAGGA